UACGUAGGGGGCAAGCGUUGUCCGGAAUUAUUGGGCGUAAAGAGCGCGUAGGCGGUCCGGUAAGUCGGUUGUGAAAGUCGGGGGCUCAACCCUCGGAUGCCAAUCGAUACUGUCGGGCUAGAGUCCGGAAGAGGCGAGUGGAAUUCCUGGUGUAGCGGUGAAAUGCGUAGAUAUCGGGAGGAACACCAGUGGCGAAGGCGACUACCUGGCCUGUUUCUUGACGCUGAGGCGCGAAAGCUAGGGGAGCAAACGGG
rnacentral:rRNA from 1 species